GACGAACGCUGGCGGCGUGCUUAACACAUGCAAGUCGAACGGUGAAGCACCUUCCUUUUGGUGGGUGUGGAUGAGUGGCGAACGGGUGAGUAACACGUGAGUAACCUGCCCCCUUCUUCUGGAUAACCGCAUGAAAGUGUGGCUAAUACGGGAUAUUCUGGGUCUGUCGCAUGGCGGGCCUGGGAAAGAUAUUGUUUCGGUGGGGGAUGGGCUCGCGGUCUAUCAGCUUGUUGGUGGGGUGAUGGCCUACCAAGGCGGUGACGGGUAGCCGGCCUGAGAAGGUGGACGGUCACACUGGGACUGAGACACGGCCCAGACUCCUACGGGAGGCAGCAGUGGGGAAUAUUGCACAAUGGGCGCAAGCCUGAUGCAGCGACGCCGCGUGAGGGAUGGAGGCCUUCGGGUUGUAAACCUCUUUCGCCAGUGAAGCAGGCCUGUCCCUUGUGUGGGUGGGUUGACGGUAGCUGGAUAAGAAGCGCCGGCUAACUACGUG
rnacentral:rRNA from 1 species